rnacentral:pre_miRNA from 1 species
CACAUUGUUUGGUUUGAGAGAGAGAAUAGUUGUUUACUUCGUGACUGUAAAUAAACAACUAUUCUCUCUCUCAGACCAAACAAUGUG